rnacentral:rRNA from 1 species
GGUUAAGCGACUAAGCGUACACGGUGGAUGCCCUGGCAGUCAGAGGCGAUGAAGGACGUGCUAAUCUGCGAUAAGCGUCGGUAAGGUGAUAUGAACCGUUAUAACCGGCGAUUUCCGAAUGGGGAAACCCAGUGUGAUUCGUCACACUAUCAUUAACUGAAUCCAUAGGUUAAUGAGGCGAACCGGGGGAACUGAAACAUCUAAGUACCCCGAGGAAAAGAAAUCAACCGAGAUUCCCCCAGUAGCGGCGAGCGAACGGGGAGCAGCCCAGAGCCUGAAUCAGUGUGUGUGUUAGUGGAAGCGUCUGGAAAGGCGUGCGAUACAGGGUGACAGCCCCGUACACAAAAAUGCACAUACUGUGAGCUCGAUGAGUAGGGCGGGACACGUGGUAUCCUGUCUGAAUAUGGGGGACCAUCCUCCAAGGCUAAAUACUCCUGACUGACCGAUAGUGAACCAGUACCGUGAGGGAAAGGCGAAAAGAACCCCGGCGAGGGGAGUGAAAAAGAACCUGAAACCGUGUACGUACAAGCAGUGGGAGCACGCUUAGGCGUGUGACUGCGUACCUUUUGUAUAAUGGGUCAGCGACUUAUAUUCUGUAGCAAGGUUAACCGAAUAGGGGAGCCGAAGGGAAACCGAGUCUUAACUGGGCGUUAAGUUGCAGGGUAUAGACCCGAAACCCGGUGAUCUAGCCAUGGGCAGGUUGAAGGUUGGGUAACACUAACUGGAGGACCGAACCGACUAAUGUUGAAAAAUUAGCGGAUGACUUGUGGCUGGGGGUGAAAGGCCAAUCAAACCGGGAGAUAGCUGGUUCUCCCCGAAAGCUAUUUAGGUAGCGCCUCGUGAAUUCAUCUCCGGGGUAGAGCACUGUUUCGGCAAGGGGGUCAUCCCGACUUACCAACCCGAUGCAAACUGCGAAUACCGGAGAAUGUUAUCACGGGAGACACACGGCGGGUGCUAACGUCCGUCGUGAAGAGGGAAACAACCCAGACCGCCAGCUAAGGUCCCAAAGUCAUGGUUAAGUGGGAAACGAUGUGGGAAGGCCCAGACAGCCAGGAUGUUGGCUUAGAAGCAGCCAUCAUUUAAAGAAAGCGUAAUAGCUCACUGGUCGAGUCGGCCUGCGCGGAAGAUGUAACGGGGCUAAACCAUGCACCGAAGCUGCGGCAGCGACGCUUAUGCGUUGUUGGGUAGGGGAGCGUUCUGUAAGCCUGUGAAGGUGUGCUGUGAGGUAUGCUGGAGGUAUCAGAAGUGCGAAUGCUGACAUAAGUAACGAUAAAGCGGGUGAAAAGCCCGCUCGCCGGAAGACCAAGGGUUCCUGUCCAACGUUAAUCGGGGCAGGGUGAGUCGACCCCUAAGGCGAGGCCGAAAGGCGUAGUCGAUGGGAAACAGGUUAAUAUUCCUGUACUUGGUGUUACUGCGAAGGGGGGACGGAGAAGGCUAUGUUGGCCGGGCGACGGUUGUCCCGGUUUAAGCGUGUAGGCUGGUUUUCCAGGCAAAUCCGGAAAAUCAAGGCCGAGGCGUGAUGACGAGGCACUACGGUGCUGAAGCAACAAAUGCCCUGCUUCCAGGAAAGCCUCUAAGCAUCAGGUAACAUCAAAUCGUACCCCAAACCGACACAGGUGGUCAGGUAGAGAAUACCAAGGCGCUUGAGAGAACUCGGGUGAAGGAACUAGGCAAAAUGGUGCCGUAACUUCGGGAGAAGGCACGCUGAUACGUAGGUGAAGCGACUUGCUCGUGGAGCUGAAAUCAGUCGAAGAUACCAGCUGGCUGCAACUGUUUAUUAAAAACACAGCACUGUGCAAACACGAAAGUGGACGUAUACGGUGUGACGCCUGCCCGGUGCCGGAAGGUUAAUUGAUGGGGUUAGCGCAAGCGAAGCUCUUGAUCGAAGCCCCGGUAAACGGCGGCCGUAACUAUAACGGUCCUAAGGUAGCGAAAUUCCUUGUCGGGUAAGUUCCGACCUGCACGAAUGGCGUAAUGAUGGCCAGGCUGUCUCCACCCGAGACUCAGUGAAAUUGAACUCGCUGUGAAGAUGCAGUGUACCCGCGGCAAGACGGAAAGACCCCGUGAACCUUUACUAUAGCUUGACACUGAACAUUGAGCCUUGAUGUGUAGGAUAGGUGGGAGGCUUUGAAGUGUGGACGCCAGUCUGCAUGGAGCCGACCUUGAAAUACCACCCUUUAAUGUUUGAUGUUCUAACGUGGACCCGUGAUCCGGGUUGCGGACAGUGUCUGGUGGGUAGUUUGACUGGGGCGGUCUCCUCCUAAAGAGUAACGGAGGAGCACGAAGGUUGGCUAAUCCUGGUCGGACAUCAGGAGGUUAGUGCAAUGGCAUAAGCCAGCUUGACUGCGAGCGUGACGGCGCGAGCAGGUGCGAAAGCAGGUCAUAGUGAUCCGGUGGUUCUGAAUGGAAGGGCCAUCGCUCAACGGAUAAAAGGUACUCCGGGGAUAACAGGCUGAUACCGCCCAAGAGUUCAUAUCGACGGCGGUGUUUGGCACCUCGAUGUCGGCUCAUCACAUCCUGGGGCUGAAGUAGGUCCCAAGGGUAUGGCUGUUCGCCAUUUAAAGUGGUACGCGAGCUGGGUUUAGAACGUCGUGAGACAGUUCGGUCCCUAUCUGCCGUGGGCGCUGGAGAACUGAGGGGGCUGCUCCUAGUACGAGAGGACCGGAGUGGACGCAUCACUGGUGUUCGGGUUGUCAUGCCAAUGGCACUGCCCGGUAGCUAAAUGCGGAAGAGAUAAGUGCUGAAAGCAUCUAAGCACGAAACUUGCCCCGAGAUGAGUUCUCCCUGACCCUUUAAGGGUCCUGAAGGAACGUUGAAGACGACGACGUUGAUAGGCCGGGUGUGUAAGCGCAGCGAUGCGUUGAGCUAACCGGUACUAAUGAACCGUGAGGCUUAACCUU